CAGGCCUAACACAUGCAAGUCGAACGGUAGCACAGAGAGCUUGCUCUCGGGUGACGAGUGGCGGACGGGUGAGUAAUGUCUGGGAAACUGCCUGAUGGAGGGGGAUAACUACUGGAAACGGUAGCUAAUACCGCAUAAUGUCGCAAGACCAAAGAGGGGGACCUUCGGGCCUCUUGCCAUCAGAUGUGCCCAGAUGGGAUUAGCUAGUAGGUGGGGUAACGGCUCACCUAGGCGACGAUCCCUAGCUGGUCUGAGAGGAUGACCAGCCACACUGGAACUGAGACACGGUCCAGACUCCUACGGGAGGCAGCAGUGGGGAAUAUUGCACAAUGGGCGCAAGCCUGAUGCAGCCAUGCCGCGUGUGUGAAGAAGGCCUUCGGGUUGUAAAGCACUUUCAGCGAGGAGGAAGGCGAUACGGUUAAUAACCGUGUUGAUUGACGUUACUCGUCGAANAAGCACCGGCUAACUCCGUGCCAGCAGCCGCGGUAAU
rnacentral:rRNA from 1 species